GAAGGAGGGGAUUGCGUCUGAUUAGCUAGUUGGAGGGGUAACGGCCCACCAAGGCGAUGAUCAGUAGCCGGUCUGAGAGGAUGAACGGCCACAUUGGGACUGAGACACGGCCCAGACUCCUACGGGAGGCAGCAGUGGGGAAUCUUCCGCAAUGGACGAAAGUCUGACGGAGCAACGCCGCGUGAGUGAUGACGGCCUUCGGGUUGUAAAGCUCUGUUAAUCGGGACGAAAGGCCUUCUUGCGAAUAGUUAGAAGGAUUGACGGUACCGGAAUAGAAAGCCACGGCUAACUACGUGCCAGCAGCCGCGGUAAUACGUAGGUGGCAAGCGUUGUCCGGAAUUAUUGGGCGUAAAGCGCGAGCAGGCGGAUUGGUCAGUCUGUCUUAAAAGUUCGGGGCUUAACCCCGUGAUGGGAUGGAAACUGCCAAUCUAGAGUAUCGGAGAGGAAAGUGGAAUUCCUAGUGUAGCGGUGAAAUGCGUAGAUAUUAGGAAGAACACCAGUGGCGAAGGCGACUUUCUGGACGAAAACUGACGCUGAGGCGCGAAAGCCAGGGGAGCGAACGGGAUUAGAUACCCCGGUAGUCCUGGCCGUA
rnacentral:rRNA from 1 species